rnacentral:rRNA from 1 species
GAUGAACGCUGGCGGCGUGCCUAAUACAUGCAAGUCGAGCGAACGGACGAGAAGCUUGCUUCUCUGAUGUUAGCGGCGGACGGGUGAGGAACACGUGGAUAACCGACCUAUAAGACUGGGAUAACUUCGGGAAACCGGAGCUAAUACCGGAUAAUAUUUUGAACCGCAUGGUUCAAAAGUGAAAGACGGUCUUGCUGUCACUUAUAGAUGGAUCCGCGCUGCAUUAGCUAGUUGGUAAGGUAACGGCCUACCAAGGCAACGAUGCAUAGCCGACCUGAGAGGGUGAUCAGCCACACUGGAACUGAGACACGGUCCAGACUCCUACGGGAGGCAGCAGUAGGGAAUCUUCCGCAAUGGGCGAAAGCCUGACGGAGCCAUGCCGCGUGAGUGAUGAAGGUCUUCGGAUCGUAAAGCUCUGUUAGUAGGGAAGAACGUAUGUGUAAGUAACUGUGCACGUCUUGACGGUACCUACUCAGAAAGCCACGGCUAACUACGUG